rnacentral:rRNA from 1 species
AUUGAACGCUGGCGGCAUGCCUAACACAUGCAAGUCGAGCGGAGCGGUGGACGGGUGAGUAAUGCCUGGGACUCUGCAUGGUAGUGGGGUAUAACGUCCGGAAACGGGCGAUAAUAUAGCCUACUAUCAGAUGAGCUUAGGGCGGCUUAGCUAGUUGGUGGGGGAAAGGCCUAACAAGGCGACGAGCCGUAACUGGUCUGAUAGGAUGAUCAGUCACACUGGAACUGAGACACGGUCCAGACUCCUACGUGAGGCAGCAGUGGGGAAUAUUGGACAAUGGGCGAAAGCCUGAUCCAGCCAUGCCGCGUGUGUGAAGAAGGUCUUCGGAUUGUAAAGCACUUUAAGUUGGGAGGCGUUACCAACAGAAUAAGCACCGGCUAACUUCGUGCCAGCAGCCGCGGUAAUAC